ACGACGCUGGCGGCGUGCCUAAUACAUGCAAGUCGAGCGCGGGAAGCGGACAAUCACCCUUCGGGGUGUGCGUCCGUGGAACGAGCGGCGGAUGGGUGAGUAUCACGUGGGCAACCUGCCUGUAAGAUUGGGAUAACUCGCGGAAACGUGAGCUAAUACCGAAUGAAGUCUUUCACCGCCUGGUGAAAGGAUGAAAGAUGGCUCUUGAGCUAUCACUUACAGAUGGGCCCGCGGCGCAUUAGCUAGUUGGUGGGGUAAAGGCCUACCAAGGCGACGAUGCGUAGCCGACCUGAGAGGGUGAUCGGCCACACUGGGACUGAGACACGGCCCAGACUCCUACGGGAGGCAGCAGUAGGGAAUCUUCCGCAAUGGACGAAAGUCUGACGGAGCAACGCCGCGUGAGUGAUGAAGGUCUUCGGAUCGUAAAACUCUGUUGUCAGGGAAGAACAAGUUGUGUUCUAACAGGACAUGACCUUGACGGUACCUGACCAGAAAGCCCCGGCUAACUACGUGCCAGCCGCCGC
rnacentral:rRNA from 1 species